GGCGUAGGAAAUUUGAGAAGACCUGUCCUUAGUACGAGAGGACCGGGAUGGACGUACCUCUGGUGUACCAGUUGUCCUGCCAAGGGCAUGGCUGGGUAGCUAUGUACGGAAUGGAUAAGCGCUGAAAGCAUCUAAGCGCGAAGCCAACUUCAAGAUAAGAUUUCCCACCGCAAGGGUAAGACCCCAGAAAGACUAUCUGGUUGAUAGGUCGAAGGUGUAAGUGUAGCAAUGUAUUUAGCUUAUCGAUACUAAUAGGUCGAGGACUUGACCAAU
rnacentral:rRNA from 1 species